rnacentral:rRNA from 1 species
AGAAAAUAGAUACCCCCGAUAGUCCACGCCGUAAAACGAUGGGCACUAGGUGUCGGGGGGUAUCGACCCCCCGGUGCCGCAGCUAAACGCAUUAAAGUGCCCCGCCUGGGGAGUACGGCCGCAAGGCUAAAACUCAAAGGAAUUGACGGGGGCCCGGCACAAGCAGCGGAGCGUGUGGUUUAAUUCGACGCAACGCGCGGAACCUUACCUGGGCUUGACAUGUUCUGGAAUGUCGGUGAAAGCCGGCAGCCCUUCGGGGCCGGUACACAGAUGCUGCAUGGCUGUCGUCAGCUCGUGCCGUGAGGUGUUGGGUUAAGUCCCGCAACGAGCGCAACCCUCGUCGCUAGUUGGAUUUCUCUAGCGAGACCGCUGCGCGAAAACGCAGAGGAAGGUGGGGAUGACGUCAAGUCAGCACGGCUCUU